rnacentral:rRNA from 1 species
UGGCGGCGUGCUUAACACAUGCAAGUCGAACGAAGAGGAUAAGAAAGAGCGCUUCGGCAGGAUUUUUUAUCAUCUUAGUGGCGGACGGGUGAGUAACGUGUGGGCAACCUGCCCUGUACUGUGGAAUAAUCAUUGGAAACGAUGACUAAUACCGCAUGUGGUCCUCAGAGGGCAUCCUCAGAGGAAGAAAGGAUACGUUCGGUACAGGAUAGGCCCGCAUCUGAUUAGCUAGUUGGUGAGAUAACAGCCCACCAAGGCGACGAUCAGUAGCCGACCUGAGAGGGUGAUCGGCCACAUUGGGACUGAGACACGGCCCAAACUCCUACGGGAGGCAGCAGUGGGGAAUAUUGCACAAUGGGGGAAACCCUGAUGCAGCAACGCCGCGUGAAGGAAGAAGGUUUUCGGAUCGUAAACUUCUAUCAAUAGGGAAGAAAGAAAUGACGGUACCUAAAUAAGAAGCCCCGGCUAACUACGUGCCAGCAGCCGCGGUAAUACGUAGGGGGCAAGCGUUAUCCGGAAUUACUGGGUGUAAAGGGAGCGUAGGCGGCAUGGUAAGCCAGAUGUGAAAGCCUUGGGCUUAACCCGAGGAUUGCAUUUGGAACUAUCAAGCUAGAGUACAGGAGAGGAAAGCGAAAUUCCUAGUGUAGCGGUGAAAUGCGUAGAUAUUAGGGAGAACACCAGUGGCGAAGGCGGCUUUCUGGACUGAAACUGACGCUGAGGCUCGAAAGCGUGGGGAGCGAACAGGAUUAGAUACCCUGGUAGUCCACGCCGUAAACGAUGAGUGCUAGGUGUCGGGGAGGAAUCCUCGGUGCCGCAGCAAACGCAAUAAGCACUCCACCUGGGGAGUACGACCGCAAGGUUGAAACUCAAGGAAUUGACGGGGGCCCGCACAAGCGGUGGAGCAUGUGGUUUAAUUCGAAGCAACGCGAAGAACCUUACCAAGGCUUGACAUCCCGAUGACCGGNACAGAGAUGUACCUUCUCUUCGGAGCAUUGGU